GAGUAGCCUUUAUAGCGGAAUGAUUCUUGUAACGGACCGAAGUGGUCAAUGUGUAUAAUAUCAAGUGGCAUCGUGGGGAAAGGGUACACUUGUGUUUCCCCCUCAAAACGAUUUGAAGAGCUAUUUGACAUCACGCAGCGCCGCAGUGAGCUAAAUCAUCGUGGUGGACACGCAACAUAUUUGUCACCAUUGACUCCGGA